rnacentral:lncRNA from 1 species
AUGAACACUGUGAGAAGUAUUUAUUCAGGACUCCUGCUAAAUCUAAUGGUCUCAUAUGUCAAUCAGAUGUUGGGAACACCUGCGUCUCAAAUACCAAGAGGGCUGGAUGAGGAAAUCACUGCUUGGAAGCCCACCCUGCCUUUGUCAGGGGAGGGCAGAGUGCGGAGCAAGGCACAGACCGGGACGCAGGGCAGCCCUGAUCCCUGCAGCCCCGAGACUGAGAGGACCCCGAAACCCCAGGUCCCAGCGCAUUCAGUAGCUCUGAGAGACGUCUGUUCUAGAAAGACCAAGGAAGCCUUAAUGCACACAAGCGAAUAUUCUACGAAAGAAGUAUUUUUUCCCAAGCAAUAGAGGGGGGCUUAAGGAAUGAGAUAGCAACUUCAACAAGAAAAGAACAAAAGAUUUUGAUGAAAUAUUGCAUUGAGUAAUCCAUCUGGUUAAAAAGGGGAUACUUCCUCAUAGUUCCCUUCUCACCUCCUCAUAUUUAAAAAACAGGUGCUGCAGGUUGACUUCAUGAACGGAAUCGUCAAACAUUUGUACUCUCCUAACUGAACGGAUUCCUGCAACACGAGAGCAUUUCCUCUGCAAAUCUGCUGCCUGGUACCACAGCUGAGCAGGUCCCUGGGCAGGCCUGGUCUCGUUCUUACUUUCUGGGUUUCCUUUUCUUUCACUCUCUCUCUCUCUCCUGGCAAAAUGUCUUGAAAACAGGACAUUUACGCUCCACCCUCACGUUAUCUUUUCUCUCUAGUUCUUUGCUUUUGAACUAGCCUUCAACAUGGGGAAGUUUAGCUGAGAGCCCCCCAAACCACUUCCUGGCCCGCCUAUGGCACCAACAAGUUGUAACCUGUCGUUCCACAGGGAUCGUUGGUAAUGCUUGGCUUGCCUUGCUCUUGUUCAAUUUUUUAUUUCCGCAGAAGCUCAUUAGGAGGGAACACUUCUGAAAACGUACUGCCUGAACCUCAAAAUCUCUUCUGGUGUAUUCAAACUCAGGCACAGAAGUCAUUCAGAAACUGAGAUUGAAGUUGAUUUAGCCGGGUGUCUGAAUUAGCCCCCAAACCACAUCAUUCUUAUUGUAAGUAUCUCUACUUGCUGUCAUAGAAACAGUUGAAGCAGUGUAACCACAAACAUUAUUCACCUUCCACUAUUAACCCUCUUGUUCAUUUCUUUUUUUUUUUUUCAAAGCUCUUCUGGAAAUUCUACAACUUCUUUUAAAACAGAUUUUCUAGACAAUGACUGCUUUUUUGCUGAUGGAGUCCUAUUAUAAAAAUAGGAAGAAAUUCAGUUUCAAUAUCCCUCUGAUUCUACUUGCUUAGCAGUUGCUUUCACUCCAAAAUGGGCAGGAAGGUAAACACUGCAAUCUUUUUACCAUUUCUUUAAAUGCUUUAAAAAGAGAGAACUCACAGUUUUCUGGAGGGUGCCCACAUGCUGUUAAUCCCUCUUGCUCCACCAUGGUGCUGUAGGACUAAGCGGAGGACUGGCUGCCGUAAUCCUUUAACUGGCACUUCAGAAAUUAUGUAGAAAAGCUAAAGUCUGUCUUGCAAACCCCAAAACUUGUCUCCACAAUCUUGCCUCGAUCAGCUUCCAAAGUAUAAUGCAGCGUGAUUAUUUUCCUCUGGGGAAACCUGUGUAACAGGUCUCUGAGUGCCAUUGGAUGUGUCAGAGGUUUAAUUGAUUCUUCACCAUGUCUCUGCACCCCAUAAUAGCCUUGCUAAGCACAGGACGUGUUUUACGGGAAUAGUCACCCAGAGCUUAAUUUGUUGUUGUGAGGCAGACAAGACUGUUUCCCAAUGAAAUUAAAUCUGUUUCGUGCCCUGCAAGUUUCUUCCUGAUGAAGUGUGCUCUGCUGACUACUGAGAGUGCAACCCUUGAUGGUCUCCAAUUAGCAUGGAUGCCAUUCCAGGGAAAGCUUACUCUCUGUUCCUUGCCAGUUUUGGAAAAACAUUCUGGUGGAGAACAGGGCUGCCACAGAACUCUGUUCCUUGAUUUCAUUUACUUUUCUCUUGCUUCUUGGGUCACAAGACAGGCGUGAUCCACAUGCCCUUAUCACAACCCAUGUAAAGUUAUCUCAUACAUGCUAUCUUAUUUUGUCAUCUUGAUAACAUUGCCAUGAGGGCAGGCAGGUAUUAUUAUGCCCAUUUUACAGAUAAGAAAACUGAGUCCCAAAUAGUCUUGCAACUUACUCAAGGAACCACUGAUAAUAAGCACCAAGUAAGGACUAGAAAGCACUUACUCUUUUUAGUAAUUACCCUCUUCCUUGGUCUAAAGUGGGCUUCCCUUGUGGCUCAGCUGGUAAAGAAUCCACUUGCACUGUGGGAGACCUGGGUUUGACCCCUGGUUUGGGAAGAUCCCCUGGAGAAGGGAAAGGCUACCCACUCUGGUAUUCUGGCCUGGAGAAUUCCAUGGACUGUAUAGUCCUUGGGGUGGCAAAGAGUUGGACGUGACAUCCUGGAAUGUGAAGUCAACUGGGCCUUAGGAAGCAUCACUACGAACAAAGCUAGUAGAGGUGAUGGAAUUCCAGUUGAGCUAUUUCAAAUCCUGAAAGAUGAUGCC